UCCAGGAUCGUCUAACGGUAGGACGCCGGGCUCUGAACCCGGCAAUCGAGGUUCGAAUCCUUGUCCUGGAGCCA
rnacentral:tRNA from 1 species